GAAAAAUGUUUCUGGGCCAAGAUUGAGUGGUAAUUAAGCACUACCUAGACAAAAGAAGGAAUGGGCAUUUUUGAGGAACUGGGAGCAACCUAGGGAGAGAAUUGAGAUGAUUGUGGUUGAAGAGAAAUCAACAAGUCAUCAUGCAGAGCCUAGGACUGAGAACAACGUCCUGGAAAGCAGAGCCAAUAUAUGAAGAGAAACCCAGUGCUGCAUCUUUACCUAUCCCAGGGUUUUUCAGGCAAAAGAAACAGACCCAGUUACCUCAAGAAAAUUUUAAAUGGGAGAGAAAUUUUUUCUCUAGCUUCAAGAAGAACAAGUAUCAGCACAUCUCCCAGAAUUUCUGCAGCAGGAACUCAUGGAGACGAUGCCAUCGAGUGAUUUAGCUCCUACUCCUUCCAUCCUUCCUUCUCUUUCUCAAGGCUUAAUUCCUAUGGGAGGAAGAUUCUGUUUGUCUCUACUUGGGGCAACCAUCUACUGUUGUGAUCAAGGGAGUAAAGUCGUGGAUGGAAAGCCUAUCAGAGAAAAUGCUGAGCAAAUGAAUCCCUGAGAUCCACAACAUCCUAUAAAUAGUCCUUAUUAAAUAAGUAAAUCAUA